GUAAGUAUAUUUUUUUUUUAUUUAUUAAUAGUUGUCCUAUAGAUAUUAAAAUAAUUUGAAUAUGUGUUGCAGAUAGACGGCAGCCCAGAGAGAAGAAGAAAAUACAGUCCUAAACCUGGAGACGAUUAAAUUGAAGAUGUCUUGAUGGCUAGAUGAUGAUGCCUGAGAAGUUUCAGUGGUACAGCUUGAAGAUGGUUCCAUUGUACAUAGAAGAUGAAGAUGAGUUAGGUUAAACCUUGUUAGAGUGAAAAAAAAAAUAAAGCACCAGGGAUAGCAGUUCCAAGCAAGAUGGUAACAUAGAUCUCAUUGCUAACUCAGAGGCUCUGCCAUGAAAAAAAUAAAGAGGCAAGGACAGCAGCUCCAAGGAAGAUUAUUACAUUGAUCAUCUUCCAAGUCUGAUGAGUGGCCAUUAAAGAAAUAAUGUUAUUUCUGAGCGGUACAUAUAUACAAUAACUAUCUGAUUUCCAUCUGCAUACAGAGUGAAAAAAAAAAAUAAAGCAGCAGAGAUAGCAGUUCCAAGCAAGAUGGUAACAUAGAUCUUCAUUGCUAACUCAGAGGCUCUGCCAUGAAAAAAAUAAAGAAGCAAGGACAGCAGCUCCAAGGAAUAUUAUUACAUUGAUCAUCUUCCAAGUCUGAUGAGUGGCCAUUAAAGAAAUAAUGUUAUUUCUGAGCGGUACAUAUAUACAAUAACUAUCUGAUUUCCAUCUGCAUGCAGAGUGAAAAAAAAAAUAAAGCAGCAGAGAUAGCAGUUCCAAGCAAGAUGGUAACAUAGAUCUUCAUUGCUAACUCAGAGGCUCUGCCAUGAAAAAAAUAAAGAAGCAAGGACAGCAGCUCCAAGGAAUAUUAUUACAUUGAUCAUCUUCCAAGUCUGAUGAGUGGCCAUUAAAGAAAUAAUGUUAUUUCUGAGCGGUACAUAUAUACAAUAACUAUCUGAUUUCCAUCUGCAUGCAGAGUGAAAAAAAAAAUAAAGCAGCAGAGAUAGCAGUUCCAAGCAAGAUGGUAACAUAGAUCUUCAUUGCUAACUCAGAGGCUCUGCCAUGAAAAAAAUAAAGAAGCAAGGACAGCAGCUCCAAGGAAUAUUAUUACAUUGAUCAUCUUCCAAGUCUGAUGAGUGGCCAUUAAAGAAAUAAUGUUAUUUCUGAGCGGUACAUAUAUACAAUAACUAUCUGAUUUCCAUCUGCAUGCAGAGUGAAAAAAAAAAUAAAGCAGCAGAGAUAGCAGUUCCAAGCAAGAUGGUAACAUAGAUCUUCAUUGCUAACUCAGAGGCUCUGCCAUGAAAAAAAUAAAGAAGCAAGGACAGCAGCUCCAAGGAAUAUUAUUACAUUGAUCAUCUUCCAAGUCUGAUGAGUGGCCAUUAAAGAAAUAAUGUUAUUUCUGAGCGGUACAUAUAUACAAUAACUAUCUGAUUUCCAUCUGCAUGCAGAGUGAAAAAAAAAAUAAAGCAGCAGAGAUAGCAGUUCCAAGCAAGAUGGUAACAUAGAUCUUCAUUGCUAACUCAGAGGCUCUGCCAUGAAAAAAAUAAAGAAGCAAGGACAGCAGCUCCAAGGAAUAUUAUUACAUUGAUCAUCUUCCAAGUCUGAUGAGUGGCCAUUAAAGAAAUAAUGUUAUUUCUGAGCGGUACAUAUAUACAAUAACUAUCUGAUUUCCAUCUGCAUGCAGAGUGAAAAAAAAAAUAAAGCAGCAGAGAUAGCAGUUCCAAGCAAGAUGGUAACAUAGAUCUUCAUUGCUAACUCAGAGGCUCUGCCAUGAAAAAAAUAAAGAAGCAAGGACAGCAGCUCCAAGGAAUAUUAUUACAUUGAUCAUCUUCCAAGUCUGAUGAGUGGCCAUUAAAGAAAUAAUGUGAUUUCAGUGUUUUCAUGGAUGGGAGUAAGACUUGGUGCUAUAAUAUGUCUAAUAUUUAAG